rfam:Dipodomys ordii contig_31889, whole genome shotgun sequence.
GGGAAUAUGGCUUAGUGGUAGAGUGCUUGCCUUGUAAGCAUGAAGCCCUGGGUUUGAUUCUUCAGUGCCA